UCAGUCUCGUGCUUAGCAUGGCAGGGGUCACAAAGAUGACUGGUCAAGACACAUGCUUUGCCUUCAAAGAAGUUGCAGGAUAACAAGGGCCAUGGGAAAUUUUUAAAUGUCCUGGGAGAAGAUCAGCUAAAAUGCUAUGGUUCCCAGUGGGCUGAGCAUCUCUUCAUGUGCUCAGAGGCCAUCAACCUUCCGCUUUCAAAAAGGGCCUGUUGUGCUGAUCUCGUCCAGUGAACUAUUUUGGCUUCCCCAUUGGAUGUAAUGGUCUCUAAGAACUAAAACUGACUCUAAAUGUCACUGAUGUUGAAGCUUUAUCCCAAAUGAAGUUCACUUUGGGUGAUACAGAAUACAAAGAGCUUUGGACAAAACUGAAAUGGGUUGGUUAACCCUUUCUUGUGUAUCCCUUUUUCUUCCUUUUGGACACUUCACAUACACAUCUACACAACCCAGGUCAUUGCUGGGAACUUUAUGGUUUGCUCAUAAAAAUUCUACCACAAUUUACUGAGAGAGAGUUUCCAAUCUUUGUUGUCUUACUUAGUCCUUACGGAAACCUCACGGAUGCGAUGCACAAUGUCUUUAAGCAGGAUGUACAAGGUCAGACAAUAAGUUCUCCAACUCCUCCUAGAAUAAGUGCUAUAUACCUCAUUGCCGAAAACAUGUUUCGCCAUGGUCAUCUUCAAAGUCCUGCCCUUAGCCAUCUGGUCACUGCCGUAGGAUAUUCAGCGAUCAUAGGUAUUUAAGUGGAGGCAUUAGCAUCCAAGCCUAGUGUUUUUCACAGGGUGGGGUGCACAGAAUGCUUUUGGGUGGUACCGCAGAACAUCAACUAAAGUUGCAUCAUAUGGUGAUAAAAUCUCAUUUCAAAUCUCUUUCAGUCUCUCAAAUUAUCUCAAAGAAAAGGUCUCCAUUUGAUGUUAACCAGCUUUUAACUCCUCUACGACACCGUCUUUAACAUUUUUUUCUUUUUUUGCAGACAGAGUAUCACUAUGUCGCCCUGGGUAGAGUGCUGUGGCAUCACAGCUCACAGCAACCUCAAACUCUUGGGCUUACGUGAUUCUCUUGCCUCAGCCUCCCAAGUAGCUGGAACUACAGGCACCUGUCAGAAUGCUCGGCUGUUUUUUUGUUGUGGUUGUCAUUGUUUAGCAGGCCCGGCUGGGUUCCUGUGUAUGUUGUCGAUGCCCUAACCACUGAGCUACAGGUGCCAAGCCCAUAUUUAACAUUCUUAACCAGAAGACCAU